rnacentral:rRNA from 1 species
AUUGAACGCUAGCGGGAUGCCUUACACAUGCAAGUCGAACGGAGUGGCGAACGGGUGAGUAAUGUAUCGGAACGUGCCCAGUAGCGGGGGAUAACUACGCGAAAGCGUAGCUAAUACCGCAUACUAUUUGAGCGGCCGAUAUCGGAUUAGCUGGUUGGUGGGGUAACGGCUCACCAAGGCGACGAUCCGUAGCAGGUUUGAGAGGACGACCAGCCACACUGGGACUGAGACAGGGCCCAGGCUCCUGCGGGGGGCAGAAGUGGGGAAUUUUGGACAAUGGGGGAACCCCUGAUCCAGCCGUCCCGCGUGUGCGAUGAAGGCCUUCGGGUUGUAAAGCACUUUUGGCAGGAGAGCGGUACCUGCAGAAUAAGCACCGGCUAACUACGUGCCAGCCGCCGCGGUAAUUC